UAGUUGCUCGCUGUGUUGAAGAGAUUUACGAAGUCGAGGUUUGAGAAGGAAUAUACGGACUUCGCGGUGAAUUAAAGAAUGGCCGCUACUUAGUUAUAUAAAUAACAUAUUUCAGCAAAUAGCCAUAGAGACGAGUAUUUUAAGAAAGUGCAAUCGGAGGAGUAAGAAGUUAAUGAAACAAGAGAGGAUUUGGCUAGCUAACCGCUGCUAUCUCAAAUUAGGCUUACAGGGAGGAGAAGGAACUGCAGAUUUGACAGCCCGAAACAACUCACGACAACACGGCUUUACCGCCAGCAAUAUCAGUGUCAAAUGCCAAGUUGUAUGUUCCAGUGAAUUAAACUUCAAGACACGCCGCCUUCACCGAGGUGGCAGAGUCCCCACUACAAGUUCCACCAUGAUCCACAGGUAGGCAGCCUAUGAAGUCUCUGUACCUGCUGACUCCAGACGCAGACUUUGAGGAUCCGGGCACCACCAUGAGAGCAGGGUCCUCUGAGUCCUCAUCACUGUCCUGAUCAUUCUGACUGGUAUUACGACUACUCACUGAAAAAGAGCAUGAGAUUAUAAUCAGAAAUCCUCGUUUUUGCCUGACCAGAAGCACGCUGGUUAAAUUAGCCACAGUGCGCAAUAGCUCCGAGUCACAGAGUGACAGAAGACGGCAAAGAUAACGUGAUUUCAUCCAGUCGGGGCUGCUGUUGAACCAGCCCCAGAUCUCAUUCAUGUCC